rnacentral:rRNA from 1 species
UACGGAGGGUGCAAGCGUUAUCCGGAUUCACUGGGUUUAAAGGGUGCGUAGGCGGGUUGGUAAGUCCGUGGUGAAAUCUCCAGCUUAACUUGGAAACUGCCGUGGAUACUAUCAAUCUUGAAUAUCGUGGAGGUAAGCGGAAUAUGUCAUGUAGCGGUGAAAUGCUUAGAUAUGACAUAGAACACCAAUUGCGAAGGCAGCUUGCUACACAGUUAUUGACGCUGAGGCACGAAAGCGUGGGGAUCAAACAGG